rnacentral:rRNA from 1 species
CAUGCAGUCGACGGUGAAGCAGGAGCUUGCUCUUGUGGAUCAGUGGCGAACGGGUGAGUAACACGUGAGCAACCUGCCCCUGACUCUGGGAUAAGCGCUGGAAACGGCGUCUAAUACUGGAUAUGUGACGUGACCGCAUGGUCUGCGUUUGGAAAGAUUUUUCGGUUGGGGAUGGGCUCGCGGCCUAUCAGCUUGUUGGUGAGGUAAUGGCUCACCAAGGCGUCGACGGGUAGCCGGCCUGAGAGGGUGACCGGCCACACUGGGACUGAGACACGGCCCAGACUCCUACGGGAGGCAGCAGUGGGGAAUAUUGCACAAUGGGCGAAAGCCUGAUGCAGCAACGCCGCGUGAGGGAUGACGGCCUUCGGGUUGUAAACCUCUUUUAGCAGGGAAGAAGCGAAAGUGACGGUACCUGCAGAAAAAGCGCCGGCUAACUACGUGCCAGCAGCCGCGGUAAUACGUAGGGCGCAAGCGUUAUCCGGAAUUAUUGGGCGUAAAGAGCUCGUAGGCGGUUUGUCGCGUCUGCUGUGAAAUCCCGAGGCUCAACCUCGGGCCUGCAGUGGGUACGGGCAGACUAGAGUGCGGUAGGGGAGAUUGGAAUUCCUGGUGUAGCGGUGGAAUGCGCAGAUAUCAGGAGGAACACCGAUGGCGAAGGCAGAUCUCUGGGCCGUAACUGACGCUGAGGAGCGAAAGGGUGGGGAGCAAACAAGCUUAGAUACCCUGGUAGUCCACCCCGUAAACGUUGGGAACUAGUUGUGGGGUCCAUUCCACGGAUUCCGUGACGCAGCUAACGCAUUAAGGUUCCCCCGCCUGGGGAGUACGGCCGCAGGCUAAAACUCAAAGAAUUGACGGGGACCCGCACAAGCGGCGGAGAUGCGGAUUAAUUCUAUGCAACGCGAAGAACCUUACCAAGGCUUGACUAUACUAGAACGGGGCAGAAAUGGUCACUCUUUUGACACUCGUAACAAGGUGGUGSAUGGUUGUCGUCAGCUCCGUGUCGUGAGAUGUUGGGUUAAGUCCCCGAACGSAGCGCCACCCCCUCGGUUCUAUGUUUGCCAGCACAGUAAUGUUGGAAAUUCAUGGGAAUACUGCCCUGGGGGUCAACUCUCGAGCAUGGUGGGGAUGAACGUAAAAUCAUCAUGGCCCCUGUGUGNUCUUGACCUUCACGCAUGCUACAUCGGCGGGUACA